CUUGAAUUGCAACUAGAGCUUCAGCUUGCCAACAAUUUAUGUCUGGAGCAAAUCGGUAGCUAACAGUCCAAUACUUACAAAAUUUCACAUAGAACAUCAAUAUACUGGAACAACAGUGGUCAGAUACACCAGGCGCAAUAAAAUUUCAUUAUGUAUCAUAUGAAAAGUAUUUCAUUGAUUUAUAUUGGACACCAUCUUGUAAAGGUGACUGUAUGAACCAGCAAAGCUAAACUCCGACUUCAACUUGUAUCAAAGACAGUGAUUCGAAUCUGCUUACAUGCAGAAAAAACAAAAGACACUAACAAGGCAGCCAAUGAAACUCAUUACACUAUUACACUUCAAACCAAUGAGACUUAAAUUAACAGCAAGUCAAGCAAAAUGUUGAGCUUAAGCUUCAUCAAUGGAAGAAAGGAAUACAACUACAAAAAC
rnacentral:lncRNA from 1 species